CUAUAUACCACUAUUGAACAAAUUACAGAAAACAUUGCAUUUUUAUAUUCAAAUGCUUUGAAUGAAUUACAUCUCAUCCUUUCCUUUUUUGGAAGAUCUCUUUUCUUAGGAUACUUUUUGGGUUAACUUAAGGAAACCCGUGAAGAGCUACGUGCAAAUUCCUUGAUUCAAUAUGGAAAUUUCUAGAAUUACAGCUAUUAUGUACUUACACAGCCACCUGCCAUGCUAUGUCAAAUAUGAUUGAAGAAAUAUCUUAGGCUUGCUAAAUUGACUUUGCACCACACAAGCACUAGAACGCUCAGCCGUAGACUUCUGUGCGACAAUGAAUCAACUGGCUGAAUACCCCAUUCCCAUAACAGAAAUAGGGGCACUGGGGACCAUAUGACACAAAAAAAUUUCCAGAGGCCUUCCAAGUGUCACUAUAGCUAAGUUUCUACAGAGCUUUUGGAGCAUUUAAAUCUAUGGUGAUUCUGUUUGCUGCUGGAAUCCUCAAGCUCUGUAUGUUCAGUACAGCUUGAAGCAAACAGACAGAGCUCAUAUACUCACGUACUUCACGCACAACGGUGGAUAGCGAUACCAGCUCAGAUUCCACAACCAAUACAGAUUUGUUGAUGCAAUGCAGUGCCUGGGCUAAUGAGACUUGAUUCUCAGUGUAGUUAGCUAAAGUACUGUACAAAUUUAGUUGUAUUGCUUCUAAAUCCAAGACUGACUUACUCAACACUAACUUGAUUAUCUCUAGUUAUGUUCUGCAGUGUUU